UUUGAGACAUGUUUCAUAUUAGGAGACAGCACAGAAUGUCACCUUUCAUUUGAGGGAAUUCAUACACAUAUUUUACCGUUUAGAUAUGAAUAGUGAAUAAUGAUGAAUAACAAAGUUAUAGAGGCACAAAUAUCAGUAUAAAUUCUAAUCUCCUCUGUUAUUGGUAAUGGUGAGAGGUUAGCAUGUUUUGUUGUAGUCUCUGUUAUUGGUAAUGGUGAGAGGUUAGCAUGUUUUGUUGUAGUCUCUGUUAUUGGUAAUGGAGAGAGGUUAGCAUGUUUUGUUGUAGUCUCUGUUAUUGGUAAUGGUGAGAGGUUAGUAUGUUUUGUUGUAACCUCUGUUAUUGGUAAUGGUGAGAGGUUAGCAUGUUUUGUUGUAGUCUCUGUUAUUGGUAAUGGUGAGAGGUUAGCAUGUUUUGUUGUAGUCUCUGUUAUUGGUAAUGGUGAGAGGUUAGCAUGUUUUGUUGUAGCCUCUGUUAUUGGUAAUGGUGAGAGGUUAGCAUGUUUUGUUGUAGCCUCUGUUAUUGGUAAUGGUGAGAGGUUAGCAUGUUUUGUUGUAGUCUCUGUUAUUGGUAAUGGUGAGAGGUUAGUAUGUUUUGUUGUAGUCUCUGUUAUUGGUAAUGGUGAGAGGUUAGCAUGUUUUGUUGUAGUCUCUGUUAUUGGUAAUGGUGAGAGGUUAGCAUGUUUUGUUGUAGCCUCUGUUAUUGGUAAUGGUGAGAGGUUAGCAUGUUUUGUUGUAGUCUCUGUUAUUGGUAAUGGUGAGAGGUUAGCAUGUUUUGUUGUAGCCUCUGUUAUUGGUAAUGGUGAGAGGUUAGCAUGUUUUGUUGUAGCCUCUGUUAUUGGUAAUGGUGAGAGGUUAGCAUGUUUUGUUGUAGCCUCUGUUGUUGGUAAUGGUUAGAGGUUAGCAUGUUUUGUUGUAGCCUCUGUUAUUGGUCAUGGUGAGAGGUUAGCAUGUUUUGUUGUAGCCUCUGUUAUUGGUAAUGGCAAGAGGUUGGCAUGUUUUGUUGUAGCCUCUGUUAUUGGUAAUGGUGAGAGGUUAGCAUGUUUUGUUGUAGCCUCUGUUAUUGGUAAUGGUGAGAGGUUAGCAUGUUUUGUUGUAGCCUCUGUUGUUGGUAAUGGUUAGAGGUUAGCAUGUUUUGUUGUAGCCUCUGUUAUUGGUAAUGGUUAGAGGUUAGCAUGUUUUGUUGAAGCCUCUGUUAUUGGUAAUGGUGAGAGGUUAGCAUGUUUUGUUGUAGCCUCUGUUAUUGGUAAUGGUGAGAGGUUAGCAUGUUUUGUUGUAGUCUCUGUUAUUGGUAAUGGUGAGAGGUUAGCAUGUUUUGUUGUAGUCUCUGUUAUUGGUAAUGGUGAGAGGUUAGCAUGUUUUGUUGUAGCCUCUGUUAUUGGUAAUGGUGAGAGGUUAGCAUGUUUUGUUGUAGCCUCUGUUAUUGGUAAUGGUUAGAGGUUAGCAUGUUUUGUUGAAGCCUCUGUUAUUGGUAAUGGUGAGAGGUUAGCAUGUUUUGUUGUAGCCUCUGUUAUUGGUAAUGGUGAGAGGUUAGCAUGUUUUGUUGUAGUCUCUGUUAUUGGUAAUGGUGAGAGGUUAGCAUGUUUUGUUGUAGUCUCUGUUAUUGGUAAUGGUGAGAGGUUAGCA